CCUACGGGUGGCAGCAGUGGGGGAUAUUGCACAAUGGUGGAAACCCUGAUGCAGCGACGCCGCGUGUGGGAAGACGGUCCUCUGGAUUGUAAACCACUGUCCCCAGGGACGAAGAUGACGGUACCUGGGGAGGAAGCUCCGGCUAACUACGUGCCAGCAGCCGCGGUAAUACGUAGGGAGCGAGCGUUUUCCGGAAUUACUGGGUGUAAAGGGAGCGUAGGCGGGGAUGCAAGUUGGGGGUCAAAACUACCGGCUCAACUGGUAGUCGAACUCAAAACUGCAGCUCUUGAGUGAAGUAGAGGCAGGCGGAAUUCGUGGUGUAGCGGUGAAAUGCGUAGAUAUUAGGAAGAACACCAGUGGCGAAGGCGGAAUGCUGGACAGUAACUGACGCUGAGGCGCGAAAGCGUGGGGAGCAAACAGGAUUAGAUACCCUGGUAGUC
rnacentral:rRNA from 1 species